GUGGGUUAGAUACCCCGGUAGUCCACGCCGUAAACGAUGUUCACUAGGUGUUGGGGGUAUUGACCCCCUCAGUGCCGGAGCUAACGCAUUAAGUGAACCGCCUGGGGAGUACGGUCGCAAGACUAAAACUCAAAGGAAUUGACGGGGGCCCGCACAAGCGGUGGAGCAUGUGGUUUAAUUCGAUGCAACGCGAAGAACCUUACCUGGGCUUGACAUCCCGAGAAUCCCCUGGAAACAGGGGAGUGCCCUUCGGGGAACUCGGAGACAGGUGCUGCACGGCUGUCGCCAACU
rnacentral:rRNA from 1 species